rnacentral:rRNA from 1 species
AACGAACGCUGGCGGCAGGCUUAAGACAUGCAAGUCGAACGCCCACUUCGGUGGGAGUGGCAGACGGGUGAGUAACGCGUGGGAACCUACCUUUAGGUACGGAAUAACAGUUAGAAAUGACUGCUAAUACCGUAUGUGCCCGAGAGGGGAAAGAUUUAUCGCCUUUAGAUGGGCCCGCGUUGGAUUAGUUAGUUGGUGAGGUAACGGCUCACCAAGACGACGAUCUAUAGCUGGUUUGAGAGGAUGAUCAGCCACACUGGGACUGAGACACGGCCCAGACUCCUACGGGAGGCAGCAGUCGGGAAUAUUGGACAAUGGGGAAACCCUGAUCCAGCCAUGCCGCGUGAGUGAUGAAGGCCUUAGGGUUGUAAAGCUCUUUCGCUGGGGAAGAUAAUGACGGUACCCAGUAAAGAAGCCCCGGCUAACUUCGUGCCAGCCGCCGCGGUAAUC